GGGCGUUUGGCACAGUGGUAGCGCGCCUGCUUUGCAUGCAUGAGGUCGAGGGUUCGAACCCCUCAACGUCCA
rnacentral:tRNA from 1 species